rnacentral:rRNA from 1 species
UACGGAGGGGGCUAGCGUUGUUCGGAAUUACUGGGUGUAAAACGCACGUAGGCGGCUUUGUAAGUUAGAGGUGAAAGCCCGGGGCUCAACUCCGGAAUUGCCUUUAAGACUGCAUCGCUAGAAUUGUGGAGAGGUAAGUGGAAUUCCGAGUGUAGAGGUGAAAUUCGUAGAUAUUCGGAAGAACACCAGUGGCGAAGGCGACUUACUGGACACAUAUUGACGCUGAGGUGCGAAAGCGUGGGGAGCAAACAGG